rnacentral:lncRNA from 1 species
GUUGGGUCGCAGUGAGAACGUGAUGGUCGUAGUGAGGUCGUGAUAACGUCGCUGUGCGAUCGUAGCGCAGUAUCUCCGAAUAGAAUCACGCUUUCGCUACGCUCUCGCUACGAUUGUACAGCGACCUUUGCGAUCUUACUACGAUCUUAGUGCGCUCUCACUACGCUUCUACUACGACCUGAUUUCGCCACGACCGCACCACAAUUGUUUUGAACAUGUUCAAAGUUGGCCACGC